AUAUUUUUCCAUGGAUAAUGAAAUUCCUUCCUGGACCUCACCAACCACUCUUUAGAAACUGGGAAAAACUGAAAAUUGUUUGUUAUUCAUAUGAUUGAAGAACACAGGAGAGAUUGGAAUCCUGCUUACAAAUAAGAGACUUUAUUGAUGCUUAUCUCAAGGAAAUGGCAAAGGGACAACUUAUGCAGUGCUACACUAGGCUCUAUUAUACCUGGCCAUCAACCCAGAAAUCUAAGAUGAGAAUGGUUCAUGUUGUGCUUGAAACAGGACAGACUGC
rnacentral:lncRNA from 1 species